GAUUCAUUGGCAGAGACAGUGACAAAUUGAUUUCGACCGUGCAGAUUUAUAUACAGGAACAAACGAAACAACCCUGGCAACUUUAAGAUAAUCUGGAAAUAAACCAUAAAAUAUUUGAAAUUGGAGAGUUUACUGAGCAUGGGACUUAUUGUACUACAGAGAAGAUUCAGGAGAUAAGCUGGUUAUUGCUAAGCCGCAGCCAUAAAAUCAGAUUCACUGGAUCUUGGGUGCCAUAUACCACACCAAAAACAAUCGCAGAAAAUUUUUCAAAGUGAAUAGGUAUUUCAACCCAGAGCUCUUCACAUGAGUUGACAUUCAGAAUAUAUUUAUGCAACACCAAAGGAUUUAUACGGAAAAGAAUUUGAUGGACGGCUAUUGAAUGUCAUGUAACAAUACGACGGCUGUCAAACGACAUUCACUCAAAAGCAUAUCGAUGUAUCCGGAGAAUAAUAUCUGAACAACUGAAUUUAUAAUAUUCCCAACUGAAUUGAAUACAAAAUUGA